rnacentral:rRNA from 1 species
UACGUAGGGGGCUAGCGUUGUCCGGAAUCAUUGGGCGUAAAGCGCGCGUAGGCGGCCCGGUAAGUCCGCUGUGAAAGUCAAAGGCUCAACCUUUGAAUGUCAGCGGAUACUGCCGGGCUAGAGUCCGGAAGGGGCGAGUGGAAUUCCUGGUGUAGCGGUGAAAUGCGCAGAUAUCAGGAGGAACACCUAUGGCGAAGGCAGCUCGCUGGGACGUGACUGACGCUGAGACGCGAAAGCGUGGGGAGCAAACAGG